rnacentral:rRNA from 1 species
GACGAACGCUGGCGGCGUGCUUAACACAUGCAAGUCGAGCGGUAAGGCCCCUGUUGGGGGUACACGAGCGGCGAACGGGUGAGUAACACGUGGGUGACCUGCCUUCAGCUCUGGGAUAAGCCUGGGAAACUGGGUCUAAUACCGGAUAUGACCUUGGGACGCAUGGUUUUGGGGUGGAAAGCUUGGUUGUAAUGACUUGGCGGC